CCUACGGGAGGCAGCAGUGAGGAAUAUUGGUCAAUGGCCGGGAGGCUGAACCAGCCAAGUCGCGUGAGGGAAGACGGCCCUACGGGUUGUAAACCUCUUUUGUCGGGGAGCAAGGUGCAGGUCGGGAGAUGCUGUGAGAGUACCCGAAGAAAAAGCAUCGGCUAACUCCGUGCCAGCAGCCGCGGUAAUACGGAGGAUGCGAGCGUUAUCCGGAUUUAUUGGGUUUAAAGGGUGCGCAGGCGGAGGCGCAAGUCAGCGGUAAAAUUGCGGGGCUCAACCCCGCUCCGCCGUUGAAACUGUGUCCCUUGAGUGCGCGAAGGGUAGGCGGAAUGCGUGGUGUAGCGGUGAAAUGCAUAGAUAUCACGCAGAACUCCGAUCGCGAAGGCAGCAUACCGGCGCGCAACUGACGCUCAUGCACGAAAGCGUGGGUAUCGAACAGGAUUAGAUACCCGAGUAGUC
rnacentral:rRNA from 1 species